GAUGAACGCUAGCUACAGGCUUAACACAUGCAAGUCGAGGGGCAGCAUGAGGUCAGCUUGCUGACUUUGAUGGCGACCGGCGCACGGGUGAGUAACGCGUAUCCAACCUUCCCGCGACUGGGGGAUAACCUUGCGAAAGUAAGACUAAUACCCCAUGGUUUCCGAGGCGGACAUCCAAUUUGGAAUAAAGAUUCAUCGGUUGUGGAUGGGGAUGCGUCUGAUUAGCUUGUUGGCGGGGUAACGGCCCACCAAGGCUACGAUCAGUAGGGGUUCUGAGAGGAAGGUCCCCCACAUUGGAACCGAGACACGGUCCAAACUCCUACGGGAGGCAGCAGUGAGGAAUAUUGGUCAAUGGACGAGAGUCUGAACCAGCCAAGUAGCGUGCAGGAUGACGGCCCUAUGGGUUGUAAACUGCUUUUAUACGGGAAUAAAGUCAACCACGUGUGGUUGUUUGUAUGUACCGUAUGAAUAAGGACCGGCUAAUUCCGUGCCAGCCGCCGCGGUAAAAC
rnacentral:rRNA from 1 species